GAUGAAGAACGUAGCGAAAUGCGAUAAGUAGUGUGAAUUGCAGAAGUACCGUGAAUCAUCGAAUCUUUGAACGCAAAUUGCACUCUCUGGUAUUCCGGGGAGUAUGCCUGUUUGAGGGUCGCUUAACAAACCAUCGAUUUCGUUGCUUUUUUUUAAAAAGUAAUGUUUAUCGGAUUUGAGCCGUCUUUUUUUUUUAUAUUUAAGUGGCUUAAAAUUGAUUUUUUUGGUAUGAUCGAAGCGUAUUUUAUGAUCAAUUUUUGGUUAAAGAAACGCAUACGCGUACCGUUAUUUGUAUGAUGUAAUACGUUUGACUAUUGGAUUUAGUUCAUUCGUAUACGAUAUUUUUCAAUAUUUGACCUCAAAUCAGGUAAGAACACCCGCUGAACUUAAGCAUAUCAAUAAGCGGAGGA
rnacentral:misc_RNA from 1 species